ACACAAUCGAUGAAUCAAAUACUAUUAAAAUUACUUUUUCUAUAUAUUUGAAUAUCUUUCUAUUUCUCUUUCUUUUCUUUUAAUAAGUUUUAUUAUUCGAUCUUUAUAUUAUAACAAUAUAUUUUUUUUAACAUUCUUCAGAAACUUAUUUUUACUUUUAUGUUAUUUUAAUUUAAAACUUUUAUUUUUAUACAAAGCAUCGAUAUAUAAGAAAUUGGAAAAUUUUAUUUUUAAUUUGUAAGUGAUCAUAAUGGAUCAUUUCCAUCAAUAACGAGGAGGAAUUAAGAUUUUUUAGCUAUUUACGAAAAUGAAUUAUAGAAAAUAUUUUUUUAGAUCUCAAGAGGAUGACCAGCGCCUUAGUGUUCUUUCUAAUUCAAACUGUAUGCAGACUUCUGAGAAUAAAACUCAAAAUGUUCCCUUUUAUGGGGCAGGGCAUUGAGAUGAGAUUGCCUCUUGAGGAUGAAACAACAUAUGACCCCAUCAUAAGCAAAAGAAGAUCUUGCAACAGCCUGCAUAUCUCUCUAUCAGCCAUUUAAUAUAUAGCAAGGCAUCUGUUGAUAGCUUGUCUGCCUCACAAAGAAUGAUAGCUGUGUACAUUACAGAAAACGGCGAUACACCAACUUCAUCAAGAUUUUCAGCGUUUCCAAUUCUCGGUACUAGAAAUUGCAAAAAGCAGUAAUAUAUACCUUUAGAGUUUUCAGAGUUGCAAGGUGCGGAUCUUCUGGAUGAUUUGUGUUUUUUCUCAUUGAUUAGGUCUACUAUGACGUGUUUCUCGUAGCCUUUAGUUUCAGAGAGAUUGAUCUCAACAUGUUUCUUUGAUUCCUUCACAUUUACUUGUAUGCUGGGCACUGCUUCUCCCUGCAAUGCAUUUUGAGAAGGGGUCCUUUCACCAUUUAAGCAUAGAUGUGGUUCAAUUUAUAUACACUGACAGUGAGUGUAAGUUAACAUGUUGUAGCACGUUAUCUUAUUUUCCAGGUUACUAGCUCCAUUCAUUAUGCACAUUUCUAGUAUCUUUUCAGAACUUCUUUCAUGUAUUGAAAGGCCAUUGAUUGCGGAGCAUUUUUUGGGCUCUAAAUCUCAGUGUCAGAGUUUUAAUUUGUAUGCUUAACUUAUGGGAAGAACAAUUGAAAGAAAAGUGACAAGGGAUUGAUACCUUUAAGUUGAACACCUUGUACUUUUCUCUUGCCUGUAAAAGCGACGAAACCAUCACGAAUCAUGAAACUAUGAAGAAGGAUCCUGGAUGUUCUUGUUCCCAGAAGAAACAUUCAAGUAGGACGAUGUUCUUUCUUCUUUGCCUUUGCGUACAAAGGAACAGAUUUUGAACGUGGGAUCGACAUUGAAGAGCUGAGAUUGAAAGUUGCUGUUUUUUUUUUUUUUUUUCCUUUGUAGGAUAUUAUAGGAUCAAUAGAGAAUUAUGGAAUUUAA